rnacentral:rRNA from 1 species
CCCUUAGAUGUUCUGGGCCGCACGCGCGCUACACUGACGGAGUCAACGAGUUGUCCUGCAUCGGAAGGUGUGGGUAAUCUUUUGAAACUUCGUCGUGCUGGGGAUAGAUCUUUGCAAUUUUCGAUCUUGAACGAGGAAUUCCUAGUAAGCGUGAUUCAUCAGAUCGCGUUGAUUACGUCCCUGCCCUUUGUACACACCGCCCGUCGCUACUACCGAUUGAAUGGUUUAGUGAGGCCUCGGGACUGGCGCGCUCGAGUAGCAAUACACCUGCGCGCCGGGAACUUGGUCAAACUUGAUCAUUUAGAGGAAGUAAANGUCGUNACA